rnacentral:rRNA from 1 species
GAUGAACGCUGACAGAAUGCUUAACACAUGCAAGUCAACUUGGACUUCGGUUUGGGUGGCGGACGGGUGAGUAACGCGUAAAGAACUUGCCUCACAGAUAGGGACAACAUUUGGAAACGAAUGCUAAUACCUGAUAUUAUGAUUUUAGGGCAUCCUAGAAUUAUGAAAGCUAUAUGCGCUGUGAGAGAGCUUUGCGUCCCAUUAGCUAGUUGGAGAGGUAACGGCUCACCAAGGCGAUGAUGGGUAGCCGGCCUGAGAGGGUGAUCGGCCACAAGGGGACUGAGACACGGCCCUUACUCCUACGGGAGGCAGCAGUGGGGAAUAUUGGACAAUGGACCAAGAGUCUGAUCCAGCAAUUCUGUGUGCACAAUGAAGUUUUUCGGAAUGUAAAGUGCUUUCAGUUGGGAAGAAAAAAAUGACGGUACCAACAGAAGAAGUGACGGCUAAAUACGUGCCAGCAGCCGCGGUAAUACGUAUGUCACAAGCGUUAUCCGGAUUUAUUGGGCGUAAAGCGCGUCUAGGUGGUUAUAUAAGUCUGAUGUGAAAAUGCAGGGCUCAACUCUGUAUUGCGCUGGAAACUGUGUAACUAGAGUACUGGAGAGGUAAGCGGAACUACAAGUGUAGAGGUGAAAUUCGUAGAUAUUUGUAGGAAUGCCGAUGGGGAAGCCAGCUUACUGGACAGAUACUGACGCUGAAGCGCGAAAGCGUGGGUAGCAAACAGG